CCUACGGGUGGCAGCAGUGAGGAAUAUUGGUCAAUGGCCGUGAGGCUGAACCAGCCAAGUCGCGUGAAGGAUGACGGACCUAUGGUUUGUAAACUUCUUUUAUAAAGGAAUAAAGUUAUGCACGUGUGCCUUUUUGUAUGUACUUUAUGAAUAAGGAUCGGCUAACUCCGUUCCAGCAGCCGCGGUAAUACGGAGGAUCCGAGCGUUAUCCGGAUUUAUUGGGUUUAAAGGGAGCGUAGAUUGGUUGUUAAGUCAGUUGUGAAAGUUUGCGGCUCAACCGUAAAAUUGCCAUUGAUACUGGCAGCCUUGAGUAUAGUUGAGGUAGGCGGAAUUCGUGGUGUAGCGGUGAAAUGCUUAGAUAUCACGAAGAACUCCGAUUGCGAAGGCAGCUUACUAAGCUGCCACUGACAUUGAUGCUCGAAAGUGUGGGUAUCAAACAGGAUUAGAUACCCUAGUAGUC
rnacentral:rRNA from 1 species